GAAAGUUGCAAAGAACUUUGAAAAGAGAGUUCAAGAGAGCGUGAAACCACCGGAGUGGAAGCGGAUAGAGCCGACGUAGUCUUGUGGCAAAACCGUUCGCGUAUAGGCGAUCCGUCGUUGAUCGUCCUAGCGUAGCGGUGGUCGCCUACAGUGACUGCAUCGACGGCGUUGACGUUUUGCGCAUUCACGAGUCCGUUCGAUUGUUGCCCCGAUGCCGCUUGCGGUACUUGGGUGUCUUAUCGAUGCGGUACUCUGGUUUGUCGCCGUCAGCGUUGUGCACUCAAUUGUCCCACGUGGCAAUGUGCGUCGAUGUGAAAGUCGGUCACCUAUCCGGCCCGUCUUGAAACACGGACCGUGGAGUGUAGCUACUAUGCGAGUCGAAGAGUGCUCAAAACUCUAUAUCGGCGUAAUGAAAGUAAAGACCGACUCGUUCGGUUGACAUGGGAUUUGGUGGCUCUCGUGGUCUGCCAACGCACCAUGGUCCUAUCCGAAUGGCUUGCCAUUGGGUAGAGAUAGAGCAUAGUGGCUGCGACCCGAAAGAUGGUGAUCUAUGCUUGAGCAGGACGAAGCCAGAGGAAACUCUGGUGGAAGUCCGCAUCGGUUUUGACGUGCAAAUCAAUCGAUAGACUUGAGUAUAGGGGCGAAAGACUCAUCGAACCAUCUAGUA
rnacentral:rRNA from 1 species